CAGAGUUCAGGCCCCUCGGGGCAGAUCUCCCACCCUUGUGUAUCUAUACCUCUGUUGCUUUGGCAGGCCGCUGGGCUUUGGCCUGGCCACCGGCUCUGGGGCUGGUGUGCGCCUGCCAGGGGACCUCCAAACUCUGGUUAUCAGUGUCGUCUGAGUAUUAUAUAAUCGUUA
rnacentral:misc_RNA from 1 species